GGCCCGUUGGUCAAGUGGUUAAGACACCGCCCUUUCACGGCGGUAACACGGGUUCGAAUCCGUACGGGUCA
rnacentral:tRNA from 1 species